UAAAAUGCUCUGACUCCUGUGGUGGCCGCUAAUGCACCACGGAUGUUCGAGCAUGUGCU
rnacentral:pre_miRNA from 1 species